rnacentral:misc_RNA from 1 species
AAACUACGUUAAUCAGUGUAAACUGCACAAUAGCAGAACACUUGAACUUCGAACGCACAUUGCGGCUAAAGGGUAACUCCUCUAGCCUUAUCUGCGUGAGGGCUGUAUAGCGAUACUCAACACAUGUGUAGGGAGUGAUCACUUUACCGUGAGACUCCGCACAGUAGACCUCGCUAGUGGUCGAUUGACUGCUGACGUCUCAGGCAGGCAAGACCGCGGGUUAGCGAAGACUUACACCCAGUGUGUUUGUGUACUAUCAUCUCAGACAGCCUCACGUCAGGUAAGAUCACCCGCUGAACUUAA